rnacentral:rRNA from 1 species
GCCUUACCAUGCAAGUCGAACGGCAGCACGGACUUCGGUCUGGUGGCGAGUGGCGAACGGGUGAGUAAUACAUCGGAACGUGCCUAGUAGUGGGGGAUAACUACUCGAAAGAGUGGCUAAUACCGCAUGAGAUCUAUGGAUGAAAGCAGGGGACCUUAGGGCCUUGUGCUACUGGAGCGGCCGAUGGCAGAUUAGGUAGUUGGUGGGAUAAAAGCUUACCAAGCCGACGAUCUGUAGCUGGUCUGAGAGGACGAUCAGCCACACUGGGACUGAGACACGGCCCAGACUCCUACGGGAGGCAGCAGUGGGGAAUUUUGGACAAUGGGCGCAAGCCUGAUCCAGCAAUGCCGCGUGCAGGAUGAAGGCCUUCGGGUUGUAAACUGCUUUUGUACGGAACGAAAAGGCGCCUUCUAAUACAGGGCGCUCAUGACGGUACCGUAAGAAUAAGCACCGGCUAACUACGUGCCAGCAGCCGCGGUAAUACGUAGGGUGCGAGCGUUAAUCGGAAUUACUGGGCGUAAAGCGUGCGCAGGCGGUUUUGUAAGACAGUGGUGAAAUCCCCGGGCUCAACCUGGGAACUGCCAUUGUGACUGCAAGGCUGGAGUGCGGCAGAGGGGGAUGGAAUUCCGCGUGUAGCAGUGAAAUGCGUAGAUAUGCGGAGGAACACCGAUGGCGAAGGCAAUCCCCUGGGCCUGCACUGACGCUCAUGCACGAAAGCGUGGGGAGCAAACAGGAUUAGAUACCCUGGUAGUCCACGCCCUAAACGAUGUCAACUGGUUGUUGGGGAUUUAUUUCUUCAGUAACGAAGCUAACGCGUGAAGUUGACCGCCUGGGGAGUACGGCCGCAAGGUUAAAACUCAAAGGAAUUGACGGGGACCCGCACAAGCGGUGGAUGAUGUUCUUUAAUUCGAUGCAACGCGAAAAACCUUACCCACCUUUGACAUGUACGGAAGACUGCAGAGAUGCGGUUGUGCUCGAAAGAGAGCCGUAACACAGGUGCUGCAUGGCUGUCGUCAGC